AACGCAGUGAAAAGUGGAAGUGUUUGUGCUCAGUUUUUUUCAAUCCAGCAAACACAAAAUUUAUUUAUCUUAAUUUAAAUCUCAUUGAUUGCUGGCGGCUGGAAAAGGGGAAGCGUCGCGAUCCUCCAAGGACCCUUCAGAUUACCGAACUCCAAGGACUAGAGACAUAGCGUUUCUUAAACGCGGAUCGCGCAACAUCCACUAGUGCGCGGGAAAACUGGGCGUGAGAGGCGAUCGAUUGAGCAUCAGGGGCUUGCUGAAUCCCCACCCAUCAGGCAUCCCGACGGUGUCACAAGCCGAAGCUGUCACACAGCCGUCGUCAUCGUCCUCUGUCAACAAGAUGCGCGAGCUGAAAAAGUGAAACUCUCAUCACCGGUAAUCGGAGGUGAUAAUUACCACAACCACCUGACUGCAGGCCCAACCUACCAUAAGGUUCUUGACUUUGGCUGGAGCAAAAAGAAAGUACCAUCAUGCAUUCCGUCGCCGUUUGGAUUACACAGUCCGCAUGUCAACAUUGUCAACUGAUGUCAUCGAGUUUUUUCCACGUUUUUUCCGUUCUCCAGAGAUGAAUAAUAUGUGUUGUCUAAUCGGUAGAAUACAAAAAAUGAAGCAGAAAAUUUUCUCUAAAGAGAUCAAACAGUCCGCAACUAAUUUCAUUGUAAUUAAGAAAUAUAUGUGUGUUGGAUGAUUAAUGGAUUAAGGAAUUGAUUUCACAGUCACACACGAAGAUCUUAAGUGUUAAUUUAUUACAAAGAGCGAUAUAAUUAGGCUACGAUUGUGAAAGUGACAUAAGACGGAUGGUCGGUGAAUUGUUUAACAGUCACAAAAUUAAACGAGGAUGUUUUUGCUGAAGAUUAUUAAAAAAAAAAACGUCGCUUCACGUUAAUGCUCUACAUCUACCCUGUAGAUCCGAAUUUGUUUGAAAUCAGGCGACAAAUUCGGUUCUAGAGAGGUUUGUGUGGUGCAUACAUUGCAACGUGACUAAAAUAAAACUAAGUGUUAAUUUAGACUUAUUAUUUAAUAGACGAAUGCCAGUUCUUAGAUAUAAAUCAUCAUAAAAAUGUCAAAGCUGGGUAAUAGUUAAUAAAAAGCCGACAAUUAAACACAUAUUACUUAGUCAGUAUCAAAUGUCGCAGACAGAAAAUAUUUAUAAUAUAAAAAAAAUAGUUAAAUGUUUUGUAUAAUCAGAAAUUAAAAAUAAA